CGUCCCUCUCUCCAGCCUACUUACCCCGCUGCCCCCCGGAGUCCCUCAUUCCAACCUUUCUGCCUAUUUUGAUUUUAUUUCCUCCCCCUGCCUCUCCUUGGUUUCUAAGGGACUCCCCUCCAACCUGUCUGUAGGUAUGUUUGUGUAACCAGACACUGAAGGUAGCUGUCUGCCGAGGAAUUAACUCGGCAACCCCCAAAGCUUCGUUUGCAUUCAAUAGAGGUGUUUGUUUUUCAGGUUUAUAUCUCCAGACGGGGUUGAAGAAGUCGCCCAAAAGGAAUCACUUCGCAAAUUUUGUUUCCUCCCUUGAAAUCCCACUGGACGUGGAGCAGAUCUUCCCUUGAAGACGGCGAAGGACGGUUUGUGGAAGGUAAGUGAGCCUCUUCCCCAGCACUUAUACCCUGCCCACGUGUGCUGUGAGUACCUGGGUGUUUGCUCAGGCCCGCAAAGCCAGCACACCUGCGCUGACAAGUGAUAAACAGGAGACUGUCGAGUUGUUGCUGGACACGGUGUGCAUAUUGGGAAGCACAGGAUUUUUUUAGCAAAGAAAUUAGCUGCUUUUACACACUGAGAUGAUUCUUAAGCUAAUGAAUUCCUCCCCUCCAAAAACGGGAUAGCCUUUCUUUUCUUAAUCAGGAAGAAAACAGCAUAUGAAGACUGCUGUGAAAGAGUUUCUGUUCUUACUCUUUUCCACAGUGAA
rnacentral:lncRNA from 1 species